GCGGAUGUAGUACAUCGGUAGUACUCCAGCUUCCCAAGCUGGUAAGGCGGGUUCGACUCCCGUCAUCCGCU
rnacentral:tRNA from 1 species